rnacentral:tRNA from 1 species
GGGGUUGUGGCUCAGCAGUAGAGCGCUUGCCUAGCAUGCAUGAGGCACUGGGUUCGAUCCUCAGCACCACA